UACGGGGGGGGCAAGCGUUGUCCGGAUUUAUUGGGUUUAAAGGGUGCGUAGGCGGUCCUAUAAGUCAGUGCUGAAAUAUCCCGGCUUAACCGGGAGGGUGGCAUUGAUACUGCAGGACUUGAGUAAAGUUGAGGUAGGCGGAAUUGACGGUGUAGCGGUGAAAUGCUUAGAUAUCGUCAAGAACACCAAUAGUGUAGACAGCUUACUAAGCUUUAACUGACGCUGAGGCACGAAAGUGUGGGGAUCAAACAGG
rnacentral:rRNA from 1 species